GGAGAGGUGGCUGAGUGGUCGAAAGCGCUCGCCUGGAGAGCGGGUAUCGGGUCACAAGCUCGAUCGUGGGUUCAAAUCCCACCCUCUCCGCCA
rnacentral:tRNA from 1 species